GGGGGGUUAGCUCAGCUGGGAGAGCACGACGUUCGCAACGUCGGGGUCGGGGGUUCAAAUCCCCUACCCUCCACCA
rnacentral:tRNA from 2 species